UACGUAGGAGGCAAGCGUUGUCCGGAUUUACUGGGCGUAAAGCGCGCGCAGGCGGCACUGUAAGUAAGGUGUGAAAUCUCCCUGCUCAACGGGGAGGGUGCACUUUAGACUGCAGAGCUAGAGGACGGUAGAGGGGUGGAAUUGCUGGUGUAGCGGUGAAAUGCGUAGAGAUCAGCAGGAACACCCGUGGCGAAGGCGGCCCCCUGGGCCGAACCUGACGCUGAGGCGCGAAGGCUAGGGGAGCGAACGGG
rnacentral:rRNA from 1 species